GCCUGGGUGGUUCAGCCAGUUGAGCGUCUGACUUCGGCUCAGGUCAUGAUCUCGCAGUUCGUGGGUUUGAGCCCCAUGUCAGGCU
rnacentral:tRNA from 1 species